CUAUGAAGGGUCCUGUGAACUUCUAUUUGGUUGACUUCAGGUAGUAAGCAAGAAGUAGUGAGUCAUUCACGUCCUGUUGGCACAGUGGACUGAGGUGCUCUGAGCCUUUCCUUUGUCUGUAGGUAGAGGUGGAAAUAUUUCAAUGAGAUGUACUCAUGUCCAGGAACACCCAGAAGGAAAACAGGAAAAA